rnacentral:rRNA from 1 species
AUUGAACGCUGGCGGCAGGCCUAACACAUGCAAGUCGAACGGUAACAGCAAGCAGCUUGCUGCUUUGCUGACGAGUGGCGGACGGGUGAGUAAUGUCUGGGAAACUGCCUGAUGGAGGGGGAUAACUACUGGAAACGGUAGCUAAUACCGCAUAACGUCGCAAGACCAAAGAGGGGGACCUUCGGGCCUCUUGCCAUCGGAUGUGCCCAGAUGGGAUUCGCUAGUAGGUGGGGUAAAGUCUCACCUAGGCGACGAUCCCUAGCUGGUCUGAGAGGAUGACCAGCCACACUGGAACGGAGACACGGUCCAGACUCCUACGGGAGGCAGCAGUGGGGAAUAUUGCACAAUGGGCGCAAGCCUGAUGCAGCCAUGCCGCGUGUAUGAAGAAGGCCUUCGGGUUGUAAAGUACUUUCAGCGGGGAGGAAGGGAGUAAAGUUAAUACCUUUGCUCAUUGACGUUACCCGCAGAAGAAGCACCGGCUAACUCCGUG